rnacentral:rRNA from 1 species
UACGUAGGGUGCGAGCGUUGUCCGGAAUUAUUGGGCGUAAAGAGCUCGUAGGCGGUCUGUCGCGUCGGUCGUGAAAACUUGGGGCUUAACCCUGAGCUUGCGGUCGAUACGGGCAUGACUGGAGUUCGGCAGGGGAGACUGGAAUUCCUGGUGUAGCGGUGAAAUGCGCAGAUAUCAGGAGGAACACCGGUGGCGAAGGCGGGUCACUGGCGGCGAUACUGACGCUGAGGAGCGAAAGCGU